UACGUAGGCAGCAAGCGUUGUUCGGAUUUACUGGGCGUAAAGGGUGCGUAGGCGGUCCUAUAAGUAUGGUGUGAAAUCUCCCGGCUUAACUGGGAGGGUGCGCUAUAGACUGUGGGACUAGAGUGUGGGAGAGGAAAGUGGAAUUCCUGGUGUAGCGGUGAAAUGCGUAGAUAUCGGAAGGAACGCCGGUGGCGAAAGCGAGUCGCUGGACCUCUUCUGACGCUGAGGCGCGAAAGCCAGGGGAGCAAACGGG
rnacentral:rRNA from 1 species